ACUCCUUCGGGAGGCAGCAGUGAGGAAUAUUGGACAAUGGGUGGAAGCCUGAUCCAGCCAUCCCGCGUGCAGGAAGACGGCCCUAUGGGUUGUAAACUGCUUUUAUCUGGGGAUAAACCUACUUACGUGUAAGUAGCUGAAGGUACCAGAAGAAUAAGCACCGGCUAACUCCGUGCCAGCAGCCGCGGUAAUACGGAGGGUGCAAGCGUUAUCCGGAUUUAUUGGGUUUAAAGGGUCCGUAGGCGGACUGAUAAGUCAGUGGUGAAAUCCGACAGCUUAACUGUCGAACUGCCAUUGAUACUGUUAGUCUUGAGUAAGGUUGAAGUGGCUGGAAUAAGUAGUGUAGCGGUGAAAUGCAUAGAUAUUACUUAGAACACCAAUUGCGAAGGCAGGUCACUAAGUCUUAACUGACGCUGAUGGACGAAAGCGUGGGGAGCGAACAGGAUUAGAAACCCCUGUAGUCCCAUG
rnacentral:rRNA from 1 species